AAAACAUAGUUAAUUGAAUUUGAUAAUUAAUGAUGCCUGCCCGCUGAUAGGGAAUAAACAAACUAAAACCUAUUUAAAGGCCGCGGUAACUCUGACCGUGCUAAGGUAGCAUAAUCACUUGCCCCCUAACUAGGGGCUGGAAUGAAGGGCCAAACGAGCCCCUCCCUGUCUCAGCUGUAACACUAGUGAAAUUAAGAAAUCUGUUAAGACGCAGGUUAUACUUGAUUAGACGAGAAGACCCUGUCGAGCUUAAUUGGUAUCAUUUUUACCCCUUCUCUUGUAUCAAAGAAAAAUGUAGAAUGAUUACUAAUUUGGUUGGGGCGACCCCCCGAAUAAAAGAAACUUGGGGAAACUAAGGUAGUUUGUAAACCGACAGGCUUGAUAAGCGGAGUGACAACUYUACUUAAUAGAUCUAUUCUAGGUGUUAAUACCCCGCCUUCUAUAGGAGGCGAUAUUGAAUAAAAGUUACCGCAGGGAUAACAGGGUAAUCUCUCUCUAGAGUCCUUAUCGAAAGAGAGGUUUGCCACCUCGAUGUUGAAUAGUAGCAUCCUAAGGGUGUAGAAGCUCUUAAGGGUUGGUCUGU
rnacentral:rRNA from 1 species